GACGAACGCUGGCGGCGUGCUUAACACAUGCAAGUCGAACGGAAAGGCCCUGCUUUUGUGGGGUGCUCGAGUGGCGAACGGGUGAGUAACCCGUCAGUAACCUGCCCUUGACUUUGGGAUAACUUCAUGAAACUGGGGCUAAUACCGGAUAGGAGCUCCUGCGGCAGGGUGGGGGUGGGAAAGUUUCGGCGGUUGGGGAUGGACACGCGGCUGAUCAGCUUGUUGGUGGGGUAGUGGCUUACCAAGGCUUGGCCGGGUAGCCGGCCUGGGAGGGUGACCGGCCACAUUGGGACUGAGAUGCGGCCCAGACUCCUACGGGAGGGAGCGGUGGGGAAUAUUGCACAAUGGGCGGAAGCCUGAUGCAGCAACGCCGCGUGCGGGAUGACGGCCUUCGGGUUGUAAACCGCAUUCGCCUGUGACGAAGCGUGAGUGACGGUAAUGGGUAAAGAAGCACCGGCUAACUACGUG
rnacentral:rRNA from 1 species